rnacentral:misc_RNA from 1 species
GAUGAAGGAACGUAGCGAAAUGCGAUAAGUAAUGUGAAUUGCAGAAUUCAGUGAAUCAUCGAAUCUUUGAACGCACCUUGCGCCUUUUGGUAUUCCGAAAGGCACACCUGUUUGAGCGUCAUGAAUACCUCAAUCUCCAUCUUUUCUUCGGAUUGAUGGGUGACUUGGAUGUUGAGCCCUGCUGGUAUGCUAUAUCAGCUGGCUUUAAACUUAUUAGCCGGCUCUGUACUGGAUCGGUUUGACUCGACGUGAUAAUAUUAUCGUUGAGGAUGCAUGUCUCAUGCAGCCGGAAAGUAUCAAAGCAGCUUCUAGCUUGCCUUUAGUGCACUUUUACAUUUUAGACCUCAGAUCAGGUGGGACUACCCGCUGAACUUAAGCAUAUCAAUAAGCGGAGGA